AUUGAACGCUGGCGGCAGGCCUAACACAUGCAAGUCGAGCGGAUGAAGGGAGCUUGCUCCUGGAUUCAGCGGCGGACGGGUGAGUAAUGCCUAGGAAUCUGCCUGGUAGUGGGGGAUAACGUCCGGAAACGGGCGCUAAUACCGCAUACGUCCUGCGGGAGAAAGUGGGGGAUCUUCGGACCUCACGCUAUCAGAUGAGCCUAGGUCGGAUUAGCUAGUUGGUGGGGUAAAGGCUUACCAAGGAGACGAUCCGUAACUGGUCUGAGAGGAGGAUCAGUCACACGGGAACUGAGACACGGUCCAGACUCCUACGGGAGGCAGCAGUGGGGAAUAUUGGACAAUGGGCGAAAGCCUGAUCCAGCCAUGCCGCGUGUGUGAAGAAGGUCUUCGGAUUGUAAAGCACUUUAAGUUGUGAGGAAGGGCAGUAAGUUAAUACCUUGCUGUUUUGACGUUACCAACAGAAUAAGCACCGGCUAACUUCGUG
rnacentral:rRNA from 1 species